CUCCCCGUAGCUCAAAGGAUAGAGCACAGGUUUCCUAAACCUGCGAUACAGGUUCGAUUCCUGUCGGGGAGA
rnacentral:tRNA from 1 species